AACAACAGAACCAGCAGACCCUUGUAGCGUUUUCUUCUUUGCAGUGAAGAACGCGUACACUCCAAACUCCAGAAAAAAUCGAAACCCAGCGAAAUCGCAACCUCCAGUAGUCCAGACGCGAAUUCAAGUCGUGUUACCCUCUUCUCUCCUUUAUUAUCUCGUACAGAAUCCAGGUGUUGCAAUCUCGAGGAUGGUUCAUCCUUGCUCCUCGAAUCAAAUGGCUCCCUUCAUUUUUCCAUUGAAGAUUGUACAAUCGGUACAAUGGACAACUUGUUCGACCUUAUCCUCAGGAGGAGUUUUUGAAUUUCAAAUUGAAAUUUUUCACCCAAUUCUUCCCUCCCGAUUCCUCCCCUAAAUUAGCCCUAGUGUCCUUCUAUGUAAGCCCUUUUUUUUUUUCAGUUUGAGGGUUGGAAAAUUAGGUCGUUCUUCACUGAGAGAGGGAUUGAAGGAAACAGUCAAGUAAGAUAUAAAUAAUAAUAAUAUAUAUAUAUAUAAACAUAAGAGAUAGAAUCCAAACAGAGAGGGACCAUUUUGAUCCUAGUUUUGUUGGUUUCAUUCUUUGAUUGGGUUUGCUCAAGGCUCACGUUAGUGGUGAAGUCGUAUCCUGCUCGUAGCUGUCCCGAGUUCGCUGCUCAUCAAGAGGUGAAUAACUCUAACCUCUUUAUUUUCCUAGUUCCCAAUAGAUGCUCGAAUUUGAGUCGUUUCCUUCAUCUUAGGUUUUUUUUCUUCUGAGAUUGGUAAUGUAUGUUUCGUUUUCUAGUUGAUUUAAUGUUUGUUUGAGCGUAUUUCUCUAUUUGUCUCAUCUUCAAGUUCAUGACUAUUGUGCUCGUCUCAAGUUUGUGUUGUGUAUUUGUUAACUUCAUGGAAGCUGUCUAUCUCCAUUCUUUGAAGUAGAUUUUUUUUCAUGUUCGGUUAUGAGUUUUGAAUAUUUCUCUAUUUGUCUCAUCUUCAAGUUCAUGACUAUUGUGCUCGUCUCAAGUUUGUGUUGUGUAUUUGUUAACUUCAUGGAAGCUGUCUAUCUCCAUUCUUUGAAGUAGAUUUUUUUUCAUGUUCGGUUAUGAGUGUUGAAUCUGUCCAGAAGGGUUACUCCAUGUUCUUAUGCUCAUUUUUCCAAGUUUAUUUUGACUAGCUCUCGCCUAUGCAUAUAAAUGUAGCUUUAGUCCAUCUUUGUUAUGGUUGUUCCCUGGUAAGAAUGUUUUCCUUUUUAAAUGUAGAGUCUUUGUUCUGCUUCUCCUACAUCUUCCGCCAUUUUUUAUUUGUAUUUUUCUGCCAGUGAGUGUCAUCCUUGUUUAGUUAAGAAAUUGCAUUUCUAGAAAGUGGGUGUGCCGUUCUAUCGCUUGGUGGUUAAAUGCUUUUCAAACACUGAGUCAACUUAUAUGACAUAUUCAAUUAGUCAGAGAUUUGGUUAGUCAUUUUAGAACUAUUAAGAAUGCAGGAAUUGGGUUUUAUAUUCUACAGAUAUUGUUUGUUUUAAGAUAUCCUUACUUCCCUGUUAAAGUUUGCUAUUAUGAAAUUAUCUAUUUAUUGAUGUCAAUUUGAUAUAGCACAAAUAAUGUGUUUGAUUGCAUAUGGGCUUCACUUGGUCAUUUUAUUUGCUCCAUUGUAAUAAUGGGUCAGUUCUUAUCUUUGUAAAAAGAGUUUUAGUCAUGCCUUAACUGUAUGUGGUUGCUUUAUUUAUGUUGAAAUAGUGGUCUGAUUUGUAUCGUAGUUUGUUCAUAUAUUUUGGUCUAAAUAACGCUUAGCAGGUCCAUUUAUUUUUCCUAUGAUUAGUGUCAUAGGCAUUUUUACUUCAUUAUUUUCCCGUAUCAAAUCAAUGACUUGUUACUUACUUAUAUAUUCUAUUCAUUUGUUUGCAUGUGAAAUCUGCUCAAGUCCUCACAGACUCCGCCUUUUCAUUUUAAAGGGGGCCAUGAAGGCCCCAAAAUUCCUUUUUUGGGUCAAGAAUUGAUGUACAGGUGUUUGGAGCUUAUAUACGGGAUUUAUAUACUAGUGUAUACGAAAAAGGUAAAAUGGGCCUAGAGGACCCCUAAAUUCAGUUUUGUAUUUUGUUAUUGGGCCUAAGCCCCUUUUACUUGAAUUAUUAUUAUCUUGUUAGUUAGGACAGGUGGAAGAUGGCCAAAAAAAAAAUCAAUUUCAAGAUUAGUCUAGGACAGGUACUAAGUAUUGGACCUUUGGACCCAAAACUAAAAUUAGGCCCAAGUAUUGGCCUAGGCGGACAGAAAAUCAGACUUGGGCCCAUUCUUUAUUGCUUAUGUUUUAUAUUUUCUUACUUAUCAUUAUUUGCAUACUUGUCUUUUAAUUAGUUUUAAGGUUGCCACAAUUCAAUUUCCCUAAGGGUAGUCACUCUGAAUUAAUUUUUCCAAAAUUAAGUAAGCAGUCAUUCUACUUGAUUUUAGAAUAGUUUAUUUAAGUAAUAUUUUUAAUAUUUCCCUUCCCCCG
rnacentral:lncRNA from 1 species